CUACGUGCCAGCAGCCGCGGUAAUACGGAAGGUCCUGGUGUUAUCCGGAUUUAUUGGGUUUAAAGGGAGCGUAGGCCGCAGAUUAAGUGUGUUGUGAAAUUCAGGCGCCCAACGUCUGACUUGCAGCGCAAACUGGUCUGCUUGAGUUCGCGCAACGCAGGCGGAAUUCGUCGUGUAGCGGUGAAAUGCUUAGAUAUGACGAAGAACUCCGAUUGCGAAGGCAGCUUGCGGGAGCGUUACUGACGCUGAAGCUCGAAAGUGCGGGUAUCGAACAGGAUUAGAUACCCUGGUAGUCCGCACGGUAAACGAUGGAUGCCCGUUUUUGGCUUAUAAAGUCAGAGACCAAGCGAAAGCAUUAAGCAUCUCACCUGGGGAGUACGCCGGCAACGGUGAAACUCAAAGGAAUUGACGGGGGCCCGCACAAGCGGAGGAACAUGUGGUUUAAUUCGAUGAUACGCGAGGAACCUUACCCGGGCUUGAAUUGCC
rnacentral:rRNA from 1 species